rnacentral:rRNA from 1 species
GCAAGACUCCCCAUACCUGUGAGAAUACCCUUAGUAUCUUAAACUGAUAUAAAGGAGUGGGUAUCAAGCACACUAUAUAGUAGCUAAAGACAUCUUGCCCAGCCACACCCCCACGGGAUACAGCAGUGAUUAAAAUUAAGCCAUGAACGAAAGUUUGACUAAGUUAUGCUAUUUAGAGUUGGUAAAUUUCGUGCCAGCCGCCGCGGUUAUACGAUUAACUCAAGUUAAUAAGCAUUCGGCGUAAAGCGUGUUAUAUUUAUAAGAUAAGAUUAAAGUUAAGCUAUAACUAAGCCGUAAAAAGCCAUAGUUAGUAUAAAAAUAAACAACGAAAGUGACUUUAUAAGUCUAUAUUACACGACAGCUAGAUCCCAAACUGAGAUUAGAUACCUCACUAUGUCUAGCCGUAAACUUAAACUAUUAAUUCAACAAAAUAGUUCGCCCGAGAACUACUAGCAACAGCUUAAAACUCAAAGGACUUGGCGGUGCUUUAUAUCCAUCUAGAGGAGCCUGUUCUAUAAUCGAUAAACCCCGCUUUACCUUACCACAUCUUGCUAAUUCAGCCUACAUACCGCCAUCCUCAGCAAACCUUAACAAAGAAAAAAAGUAAGCACAAGCAUUUACCAUAAAAACGUUAGGUCAAGGCGUAGCUUAUGAGGUGGAAAGUAAUGGGCUACAUUUUCUGUUUCAGAAUAAAUUAUACGUUAUCUCUUAUGAAACCUAAGAGACAAAGGCGAUUUAGUAGUAAAUUAAGAUUAGAGAGCUUAAUUG